AUUGAACGCUGGCGGCAGGCCUAACACAUGCAAGUCGAACGAGUGGCGGACGGGUGAGUAAUGUCUGGGAAACUGCCUGAUGGAGGGGGAUAACUACUGGAAACGGUAGUUAAUACCGCAUACCAUCAGAUGUGCCUAGAUGGGAUUAGAUUGGUGGUGGGGUAACGGCUCACCAAGGCGACGAUCCCUAUCUGGUCUGAGAGGAUGACCAGCCACACGGUAACUGAGGCACGGUACAGACGCCUACGGGAGGCAACAGUGGGGAAUAUUGCACAAUGGGCGCAAGCCUGAUGCAGCCAUGCCGCGUGUAUGAAGAAGGACUUCGGGUUGUAAAAUACUUUCAGCGGGGAGGCGUUACCCGCAGAAGAAACACCGGCUAACUCCGUGCCAGCAGCCGCGGUAAUUC
rnacentral:rRNA from 1 species